rnacentral:rRNA from 1 species
UAGGGAAUCUUCCGCAAUGGGCGAAAGCCUGACGGAGCAACGCCGCGUGAGUGAUGAAGGUCUUCGGAUCGUAAAACUCUGUUAUUAGGGAAGAACAUAUGUGUAAGUAACUGUGCACAUCUUGACGGUACCUAAUCAGAAAGCCACGGCUAACUACGUGCCAGCAGCCGCGGUAAUACGUAGGUGGCAAGCGUUAUCCGGAAUUAUUGGGCGUAAAGCGCGCGUAGGCGGUUUUUUAAGGCUGAUGUGAAAGCCCACGGCUCAACCGUGGAGGGUCAUUGGAAACUGGAAAACUUGAGUGCAGAAGAGGAAAGUGGAAUUCCAUGUGUAGCGGUGAAAUGCGCAGAGAUAUGGAGGAACACCAGUGGCGAAGGCGACUUUCUGGUCUGUAACUGACGCUGAUGUGCGAAAGCGUGGGGAUCAAACA